UACGGGGGGAGCAAGCGUUGUUCGGAUUUACUGGGCGUAAAGGGCGCGUAGGCGGUCGUGACAAGUCACUUGUGAAAUCUCCGGGCUUAACUCGGAACGGUCAAGUGAUACUGUCGGACUAGAGUACAGAAGGGGCAACUGGAAUUCUCGGUGUAGCGGUGAAAUGCGUAGAUAUCGAGAGGAACACCCGCGGCGAAGGCGGGUUGCUGGGCUGAUACUGACGCUGAGGCGCGAAAGCCAGGGGAGCGAACGGG
rnacentral:rRNA from 1 species